UACCGUACAUAGUUAAAUAGCAGCAAGGCGGCACAUAUCGCGAACUAAAGGCACAGCGGAGGGAAAUUAUGCGGAACAAAAUCAGAGCCGUUGGCAAAAUGGCGCGUAUGUUUACUGUGUUAAGAGAGGAGAGUGAGAGCGUGCUUACGCUCAAGGGUCUCACUCCGACCGGUCUACUGCCGAUCGGCACUCUGUCAGGGGGAAAGCAAAG